ACACCCAUCAAGCCUGGCUUGGUAUUGGGCGAAGGGACCUCCCCGCGCCCCGAUUUCGCCGGCUGGACGACCCGAUCUCUCAAGCGUUGUACAAUCUCGCUGGUGGGAGGGGCGGCCAUGCCGUUAACCUAAUCAAUUCAAG
rnacentral:misc_RNA from 1 species